rnacentral:tRNA from 1 species
UCGCGCUUGGCGUGCCGGGAUCGCUUGAGUCCUCCGAGGUCUCCGACGUGGACAUCGACGUCGAGACCGGAGGGUUUGAGGCGCUCGUCGCGGA